rnacentral:rRNA from 1 species
UACGUAGGGGGCGAGCGUUGUCCGGAAUCAUUGGGCGUAAAGCGCGUGUAGGCGGCUCGUUAAGUCCGGUGUGAAACCUUGGGGCUCAACCCCAAGCCUGCACUGGAUACUGACGAGCUCGAGUCCGGGAGGGGAGAGCGGAAUUCCUAGUGUAGCGGUGAAAUGCGCAGAUAUUAGGAAGAACACCGGUGGCGAAGGCGGCUUGCUGGGCCUUACCUGACGCUGAGGAGCGAAAGCGUGGGGAGCGAACAGG